AUGUAUGUAUACUUACUAAUAAUUAUUUAAGACUUCAUUUUAGAAGAUCUUAAAUA
rnacentral:tRNA from 1 species